GCGAAAGUGACGGUACCUGCAGAAGAAGCACCGGCUAACUACGUGCCAGCAGCCGCGGUAAUACGUAGGGUGCGAGCGUUAUCCGGAAUUAUUGGGCGUAAAGAGCUCGUAGGCGGUUUGUCGCGUCUGUCGUGAAAGUCCGGGGCUUAACCCCGGAUCUGCGGUGGGUACGGGCAGACUAGAGUGCAGUAGGGGAGACUGGAAUUCCUGGUGUAGCGGUGGAAUGCGCAGAUAUCAGGAGGAACACCGAUGGCGAAGGCAGGUCUCUGGGCUGUAACUGACGCUGAGGAGCGAAAGCAUGGGGAGCGAACAGGAUUAGAUACCCUGGUAGUCCAUGCCGUAAACGUUGGGCACUAGGUGUGGGGACCAUUCCACGGUUUCCGCGCCGCAGCUAACGCAUUAAGUGCCCCGCCUGGGGAGUACGGCCGCAAGGCUAAAACUCAAAGGAAUUGACGGGGGCCCGCACAAGCGGCGGAGCAUGCGGAUUAAUUCGAUGCAACGCGAAGAACCUUACCAAGGCUUGACAUGUUCCCGAUCGCCGUAGAGAUACGAUUUCCCCUUUGGGGCGGGUUCACAGGUGGUGCAUGGUUGUCGUCAGCUCGUGUCGUGAGAUGUUGGGUUAAGUCCCGCAACGAGCGCAACCCUCGUUCCAUGUUGCCAGCACGUAAUGGUGGGGACUCAUGGGAGACUGCCGGGGUCAACUCGGAGGAAGGUGAGGACGACGUCAAAUCAUCAUGCCCCUUAUGUCUUGGGCUUCACGCAUGCUACAAUGGCCGGUACAAUGGGUUGCGAUACUGUGAGGUGGAGCUAAUCCCAAAAAGCCGGUCUCAGUUCGGAUUGGGGUCUGCAACUCGACCCCAUGAAGUCGGAGUCGCUAGUAAUCGCAGAUCAGCAACGCUGCGGUGAAUACGUUCCCGGGCCUUGUACACACCGCCCGUCAAGUCACGAAAG
rnacentral:rRNA from 1 species